GACGUAGGAGGCGAGCGUUGUCCGGAUUCAUUGGGCGUAAAGAGCACGCAGGCGGUUUGGCAAGUCGGAUGUGAAAUCCCGAGGCUCAACCUCGGGCCUGCAGUGGGUACGGGCAGACUAGAGUGCGGUAGGGGAGAUUGGAAUUCCUGGUGUAGCGGUGGAAUGCGCAGAUAUCAGGAGGAACACCGAUGGCGAAGGCAGAUCUCUGGGCCGUAACUGACGCUGAGGAGCGAAAGCGUGGGGAGCGAACAGG
rnacentral:rRNA from 1 species